rnacentral:lncRNA from 1 species
UAAUGAACAGGCGACUGAUUUUAAAUUGGUGUCAGGUCGUUUUUUAUUCCACUCAAUGAUUGACACCUGUCUAAGUAUAUACUCUGUCUAGAAACUCAUUAGUACAGAAAAACGUCUGUUUCUUUCCUGCUUCAGGUCGAAAAUCUGCCGAAGCCUCUUGGGCUCCUUCUAGUUUACGUAAAAGGAACCUGCCCUGAAACGGGCCUCCUAGCAGACCCGUUAAUGCAAAAACGUGAAGGUUGACUAACAAAAGGAACCCACACUGUCCACCCCCACCACCCCUCUCUCUCACCCGUUUAGGGGGCUGCGUUGGGUAACAACACACUGCCCUCCCUUUCCUAAAAUUUUCAUUUAUAUAUACAUGCUGCAUUUAUGUGAUGAUCACCUUACUUGUGAAUCAUCUAUACAUAAAGAAAAUGUACUAUAGUUAGAUAAGGCUUGUGUCCCUGUUGUUCCACUUGGCAGAGAAGAACUCAAUAAAAACAUGAUCACCUUCCUGCAUAAAAAACUGAUAAUCGAUUAAUCACUGAAUAUACAAACACUUAACAUAGAGUGAAGAAACUAACACUAAAACUGUGCAAUCAUGAGGAAAAUGAAAACUAGAACUAAGAUACUGAUAAACACUAGUGUGGGAGACUCGCUGAGUUAAUCAUGAACAAACUGAACAAAGAGGCAAAAACUGGACACUCGGGAUAAAACUGAGGACAUAUAUACUGAAACCUGAGGAAAUAUAUGGAAGAAAACUGAGGACAAAUACUGAAACCUGGAUAAGACCUUAAAUGACACUGAACCUAAAAUACAGAAAUCUAAAACUGAAAUAACUAAGGAUCAAGAACUAUAUAUAUACUGAAAUAACAACAAGCAACACCACACUGAAAUUGUACUCAAGAAUGCACACUGAAUCUAAAACAGAUGAAUGAUAGAAAGAAAAAAUAAUACUGACGAACACACACUGAAUAUGACUUGAAGAACUUGAUUACUGAAUCCGAAGCAGAAAACUGAUGGAAAAUAGAGGACUGAUAGAAAGAAUACCAAGAAGACUGAGAAGAAUACCAAGAGGACUAAGGAAUAAAGAUAACUAAUGACUGAUAACUAAGAAAGAAGAAGCAUAGACUUAAGAGUGACAGAAUGUAAGACAAGGUGAAACACAUAACUAAAAGACAAAAUAACACUGAAUAUGACUAAAGAUAAACUAAAGAACUAAAACUGGAUAAGACAGAAGCUCAUAGAACAAGACUAAAAUAAUUAUGACUGUAAUACAAAUUAACUCAAUGUGACAUAUGACUAAAAAGAGAGUAAUGAUAGAAUUGGAUUUUAUACUUCUUCGUCACAUAUUUGUUCUUGAGUUUCUAUACUGUAUCUGAAAAAGAGACUGGAUUUUACAGGUAAACAGCUACGUGAAUGAGGAUAUGCAUGAUAUGUGCAUUGGAAGCCAAGAAGCUCUGUUCAUGCAGGUCGAUGGAGGAAGGAAAAAAAUUCUUCGUAUUUUUUACGCCUUACAACUAUUCAUUCAGCUUCAGAGGUGGCAGAAAAAGAAAAAAUACAGACGACUGAAUAUGAAAUUUGACGCUGCCAAGGGAUAUUUUAAGCUAACAAUCAUCAGGGGGAGAAAAUAUUUUGCAUUCCAAGGACAAGUCUACUGUUCCUGCAAACUCAUCGAUGCACAGGACAAAAAGACGAGCAAGUUAUUCGUUCAGGUUCAGAUAACCAAACAGACUUACAUCCUGAAUUACAAGAUUUUUUUUCAAAAAAGACAUGUGUAUAAGGAAGAAAACAUCGAUCCAAAAGCACAUGUAUGAGCACAGAUAACUAGACUUCCCACUUCUCACUUAUGCAGAUUAAAAGAGGGUAACUGGAACAAAUUCCAUCGUGUACACUAGUUUCAGAACAAUCUACUGCCUGGUUAGUUGGUGCAUAACACUACAUUCAGAUGAUCCCCAAGCCAUUCUCUACGUAAUCACUCAACUCUCUGAAAACAAAUCACAUCCAUUACUAACUAAAAGCCAUCAAAAUCAUGCUGACAACAAAAGUGGCACCCUACAAUUUCUCCACAUUACUACUCCUGCAGAAGAAAAAAACGCAUACAUUCAGUUAACUAUCUCUGACCAUCUACAAACAUUCCUUGGGCUUCUAAAAUAUCUUACAGGGUAACACACUAUAUGUGGAAAAUUCAAUCAUACUGAAAAUGAGGUCUACAUCCAGAACAAAAGAGUACUACAUUAAGACAAAGUUGAGGCCUACUUAGUGAACGAAAAUUGGAGGACACACAUACAGGUGCCUGCAGCAAAUUCAGGGGCGUUCUAUGAUGAACCACUCAAAAAACUCCUCCAGGAUUGAAGAGAUUCAUGGGCGUUUCUGUUCUACCACACACCUUCCUGGCCGAAACUACAAACAACUAAACCACCCCCUGCUAUGGAGGUCUGUGACCGGUGACAAACACGACGAACUGAAAUUCAGAGGGCAUAGACAUAUAGAACAGAAAAAAGGGCAGCGGGAAGGAGCGUGAUACCUUGCGCCCCGAUGGCGCCGCCGACUGCCGUCGCACCCACCGACUGAAGCUUGCUGGUGGCGGACAUGGCGGCGCAGCUCCGCCGAGCUCCUCUCCAAACCGACAUCUGACCUGCGUGCAGCCGGCACUGUGGAGCAUGCCUCCUGCUUACAAGCUCUCCUCGCGGAGGACUCGGCGCACGCCAUCUCUGUUGCUAAACACCGGCG